GUGCUCACUUCUGCAGCACAUAUACUAAACUUGGAACAAUACAGAGAAGAUUAGCAUGGCCCCCAGACAAGGAUGACAUGAAAAUUCAUUACAUGUUCCAUAUUUUA